AUAUUCAUGUUUCAUUUGGGAACAAAUCGGUGAGCACAUUUUGCAUGCGCCAACAUCUGUCACGGGGCUUCGAAAUCAUGGGCGGAAACAAACAGAUUUGAGGACAUGUUUCACGUGAUAAAUAAUGCACAAUUACCGGUCUAGCAUUCAGCCGCCCGCCGCUGCCUUGGGAAACCGUGGUCAGUGGAUCCUCUCCUGUGCUGUGUCGAAGAAGAGCUUUCAAAACAGAGAGCCCACGACAGAGCUGUCACCCAGAGCCUAUGCUAGUGUCGGAUAAUAAUGACGACAGAACCCCGAUUCCAGUUUUGAAAAGCCAUGCCGAGGACAGAGGAGCUAGAUUAAGGGGCACAGGCAAGGCUGCAUAAAAAAUCUGAAAAAAUUGGAACGGAAGACCUUGAGAGCUUGAGGGCUGCUAAGAAGACUGCACAGACUGCAAAAUACUUCAAUCGAAAGACUCCUGCACUUUACAACACACGACUGCUGCCAUUUCACUACCGCACUAUAAUAUUAAUUGAAGUAUGAACACAUAACAGUUGUACACUUUCCUUGACUACACUGUACUUUGUUCUUCAUGUGCAAUGGUUAUCUUUUAAGUCGUUUUCUCAGUGAUUUUUCCCGUGGUCUGGGUGAUAUCAGUUCAGCACUUUAUCCAAUGUUGUUUCCCCUUACA